ensembl:lncRNA
AAUUAUGACUUUUUUUCUCUUGAAUAGCCACACUUUCUCGCAAAGCACUAUAGGAAACCACGAGAUUGAACAGUAGAACAGAGACAGAACGCGGCAGUUUCCUUACCUUUUUAUCGUAAACAGAGCUUUAUAUGCCAUUAACCGACGACAAGGAUGGACGAAUUAAUCUUUUUUCUGAGGGAAAGGAAUAUUCCAGAAACCACCAUAAAAAGGCUGGAGGACGACAAGAUUGAUGUCAGUGUCCUACUGCUAAUGACUGAUGACCAGAUGAGAAGCUAUUUUCCUUCAUAUGGAGACAGACUCGCAGUGAUGGGGUUUUGCAGGAGGCAAGAAAGUGAGCCAACUUGCAGGAAGUCAAAGCUGUUUGAGCGCCUCAAAUCAAAAUUGAGCAAAAGACAAAAAACUGACAGUUCACAAACUGAAACCCAAACAACUAGAAAAAACAAUUCUCAGCGUACUGUAAGAAAAGUUGAGAUUGGGUGGAUGCACUAUGAUGGGCAGGGCUUUGUUCAAAUGAGAGCAAAAAAAGGAGGGGGAACAAGGAAGUUGAGUGUGCCAAAAGACUGGAAAAGGGACGAACUGAUGGAGGAGGCAAUUCGUUUGUUUUUCCCAAAUGGAAAAAAUUCUCAUGGGAGUAUUUCUGAGUUUGAAUUGGAUCUAACAAAUUAUCAGGAAGUGUCACUAGAUAAAGAAAGUACAGUGGGGGAAAUGUAUAAUGCAUCCAAGCUCACAAUGAUGAGGUUCUACCUGACAACAAAAAAGGUGGAGAGGGAAGAGGAAACAGAAAGUGAAGUGGAAAUAUCAGACACAAUGGACGACUUACACAGUAAUAACCAGGAUCAAAGUCUUCCCACUUUUAGCAGAAUGAAUGACUUCUUUCAAGCUUCAGACACGGAUGUAAUUUUUGUGGAAAGUCCAGGCAAUGAUGCUGUAUCUCUCUUGCAUUCCACCGAGGAUCUGAAUGUUGCAGAUGAUGAUCUGAAUGUUCCUUUUCAAAGUUCUUCAAUGACCUUACCAGAUUACUCAGAUACAAGCGAUGUAGUGACAGUAUUCACUGGUGACAUCACUGGGAUAGAUGGACAAAACUUAGAUGACACUUUGCCUCUGAGCCCAGAACCCAUUGUUCCACACAAAAAAAUUCUUGUUGUUCAUCGCGGACAGAUAUUUUCUGAACUUAUUGCACAUUUCUGUGAUGAAACCCUUCCACAUACACAGAGUGAAGUAGAAGUG